ACCCCGCUGCGGCUGCUUUUCUGGCGCGUUCGUGAUUUCAGCCCCGCGCUAGACCCUUCCCAGCCAUCCCCGAAGUUCUUGGGGUGCCCUGAAGCUCCCCUCUUUUAACAGGGCGAGCUGCCGCGUUGGGAACCGAGGCGAUGCCGGACUCAAUCCUAUCUCGGCUCGGAAGCCGCUUUUUAAAUUUCCCGGUGCGAAAGGCUCCUUGACGGGGGCCGAUUGUGGCGCCCUGCUCACCGCAGCAAUAUUUGAGCGAAGGAGACGGGAGGCUCCAGCCGGCACCUCAGCAAAGGGGACCCUCAGGAAAUGCUCACACCUGCGGCCGAAGAGAGGCUGCAAUUCCAGGCUGAAGCAGGGGACGGAUCUAUCCGAAGGCACCCCGUACAGCCAGAAGAGCAGCUGCACACAAUUUUCUGCAUUGAAGAGGAAACAACACAUCUUGGGUGUUCGGUAUCUGGCAAUUCGAGCGUGGUAUCUAGGCUGAGAACCAGUGAGUUCUAGUCCUGCCGCCUUAGGCCUGAAGCCAGCUGGGUGACUAUGGGCCAGUCCCCCUCUCAGCCCCAGGAAAAAGGAAAGAACAAAUCACUCCCAAAAAUGUUGCUGCAUGGACUUGUUCCUGCACCCACCAGGAGUAAUAUUGACUCAAAGACACAUUUCCCGAGCAUCGUGUAUAGCUGAAUGCAUCUAAUUACUCCUCAGUCACCUUGACUAAUGCUUCUUCAACUUGCAGUUAAAUUAAGGCUCAUUUUAUACUCUCAAACUCGGCUUCAUACAACAUCCAGGCAAAAUUUAAUAUUAAGCAUCACCUAAACUGAGAUGUGGCAGGGGAGAAGAAACCAUGCACAAGGCAUCAUUUUGUCCGUUAAAACUUCAGAUAAGCAGGACAAUUGAACAAUACAAACGGAAAAGAGAUGGACCCAAGACAUUGGACAGGAAUGUCAAACUACAUUGAGGCAAGGAGACAAAAGAGCCAAGGAAAACAGUUAACGGCCAAUCUGAAACCAUCAAUCAAAUCAGUGAAAUAACGCGAAGGCACAAUUCCUCAGCGAGGCUGACAAUAUU